AACGAACGCUGGCGGCAUGCCUAACACAUGCAAGUCGAACGAGACCUCCGGGUCUAGUGGCGCACGGGUGCGUCACGCGUGGGAACCUGCACUUAGGUUCGGAAUACCUCCCCGAAAGGGGUGCUAAUACCGGAUAAUGUCUUCGGACCAAAGAUUUAUCGACUUUGGAUGGGCCAGCGUUGGAUUAGCUAGUUGGUAGGGUAAAAGCCUACCAAGGCGACGAUCCAUAGCUGGUUUGAGAGGAUGGUCAGCCACACUGGGACUGAGACACGGCCCAGACUCCUACGGGAGGCAGCAGAGGGGAAUAUUGGACAAUGGGCUAAAGCCUGAUCCAGCAAGGCCGCGUGAGUUAUGAAGGCCUUAGGGUUGUAAAGCUCUUUUACCCGGGAUGAUAAUGACAGUACCGGGAGAAUAAGCCCCGGCUAACUCCGUG
rnacentral:rRNA from 1 species